rnacentral:lncRNA from 1 species
CGCACGACACAGCAGACAAAAUUGGUAAAGGUGUCCAUUUGCGUGCCUACGUCUUUUAUGACUCCAAGUACCGUGAAGUGUCCGAGAAAAGAAAGCAAAGAAAGAAAGAGGGAGAUGCAAAGGCGGCUGUCCCAAUAAACGAUUAUUUCUCCAAAUUAUUUCAUGAGGUACAAAUGUACUUCAACAACCAGUCGAUCAUGAUAAAUGUAACAGUAGACGCAGUUGAGGAGAGAAAUAUGUCACAAAUGGAGGGACGAAAAAUUGACGCAGAGAAGACGCUGCAGAAGGUCGUAGAAACCGGGAAGACUUUAUCCAGAUCAAACGACACUAUCUUCUACUAUUUCACCUGG